GAGGGUAUAGCUCAGUGGCAGAGCAUGAAGGUGGUCCUAGGUUCAAUCCCCAGUGCCUCCA
rnacentral:tRNA from 1 species